rnacentral:lncRNA from 1 species
UUUUAUUUAUUUGAGGGAUCCCUGGGUGGCACAGUGGUUUGGCGCCUGCCUUUGGCCCAGGGCGCGAUCCUGGAGACCCGGGAUGGAAUCCCACGUCGGGCUCCCAGUGCAUGGAGCCUGCUUCUCCCUCUGCCUGUGUCUCUGCCUCUCUCUCUGUGACUAUCGUAAAUAAAUUAAAAAAUUAAAAAAAAAAAAGAUUUUGUUUAUUUGAGAGAGAGAGCUCAAGCAGGGGGAGCAGCUGAGGGAGAGGGAGAAGCAGGCUCCCAGCUCAGGAUGGCUCAGCUCCAUCCCAGGACCCGGGAUCAAGACCUGAGCCAAAAGCAGACGCUUAACCAACUGAGCCAAACAGGCGCCUCAGUUCAGUACAUCUUAAUUUACAGCAUACAGGCCACAAAUGAUAAAAUGAAGACUUUUUUUUUUUUUUUUUUUUUUUUUUUUACUGAGUCAGCAGAGACAACAGUCUAAUUCCCCUGUGCUUCCCCAAAGUUACUUACAAUUCUGUGACGAGAGGAUCAUAUCAUGUGCCAAUUACUGCCCUCUACUAGAGUGAGCCGUUGUCAGGCACUCUGCUCUAUACAAUGUCUGUUUUCUGCUUCCAGUCUCAGUCCUUUCUCCACAUGGUCUAGGUACACAUGGAAUAGUCAGUUCUCACCUUUUGGAGGGGACAUAGUGGCAGUGUCAAAAUACAGGCCUAGAAAACAGGUCAUAAAGCAAAUCAAUAUAGAGGCGAAACUGCUUUGCCAUAUAAACCAUAUAAUUGCUGGUUGUAAUUCUGGCUUUUGGUUAAAUGUUAAGUGUAACAGUCAACCAACCUCAAAGCCAAAUCAAACUCAAUAGCAACAACAGAUCUUUCAAAAACUGUAAUUUACAUACAGGUUCUGAAAAACAGACAUCAAUGUCAUAAAGAUUUUAUAUAAAAGCUCUAAGGGUACAUAAAAGUAGAUCUUUAUCACAUUAUAAAUAGGACUUAAAUGUCCUAGCAGAAAACAAAUGCUCCACAUUUGAGCCACAGUUUUGUCUUCAGUUUCUAAAAGCUUUCUCUGGGGUGUACCUGGCUGGCUUAGUCAGUAGAGCAUGAGACUUGAUCUUGGGGUCUGAGUUCAAGCCCCAUGAUGGGUAUAGAGCUUAAAAAAAUGCUUUCAUUGGUGUGACGUGGAUAGUCUUUUAUACAAUAGCCCAAGAAAAUUUAUUAGAAAACCUAUUUCACUGAAUAAGGUGGUACCAGUAAGCAGAUGGAUUCAGAAGCAUAGUAUUUAAAGAACUGCAGCAGAUGCUCAAUAUGUGGUUUUUUUUAUGAUUAUGAUGAUGGUGUUUUUUGAAAAGUAUUUUUAAAUAUAAAUACUUUACAUUCUAUCUCCCAUCUCCUCAGAGACACACAAAUAAAGGCCAACAGAAAAUAGGUUAAACUAUACUUCAUUGACAAGUUUUAGAUAAUCAAUUAGAUUACCAAUGGCCC